AUUGAACGCUGGCGGCAGGCCUAACACAUGCAAGUCGAGCGGGGUUUUCGGACCUAGCGGCGGACGGGUGAGUAAUGCGUAGGAAGCUACCCGACAGAGGGGGAUACCAGUUGGAAACGACUGUUAAUACCGCAUAAUGUCUACGGACCAAAGUGUGGGACCUUCGGGCCACAUGCUGUCGGAUGCGCCUACGUGGGAUUAGCUAGUUGGUGAGGUAAUGGCUCACCAAGGCGACGAUCCCUAGCUGGUUUGAGGGGAUGAUCAGCCACACUGGAACUGAGACACGGUCCAGACUCCUACGGGAGGCAGCAGUGGGGAAUAUUGGACAAUGGGCGCAAGCCUGAUCCAGCCAUGCCGCGUGUGUGAAGAAGGCCUUCGGGUUGUAAAGCACUUUCAGCGAGGAGGAAGGGUUGUGUGUUAAUAGCACAUAGCUUUGACGUUACUCGCAGAAGAAGCACCGGCUAACUCUGUGCCAGCCGCCGCAGUAACAC
rnacentral:rRNA from 1 species